CCCCGCGAUUGGACUAGGGCGCCGUCCGUCCCACGGGCCCGCGGGCUCUGUGAGCAGCCAGUGCGCAGUUCCCAGGCCCGGGUGCGCGGGAGCGGCGCGUCCCGGAGGGGCUCGGGCUCGGUCCUGGGGAGGGAGCUGCGGCCUUGAGGCGGGUGCAGCCUAUCUGGACCCGCCCCGAGGGAAAGCCGUCGUCGUCCUCCUCCGGAUUGGUUCGCCCCGCUGUCAGGGGUAAGUGAACCCCCGAAGCUGGCUCCAAGCUCCCGCGGCGCAGUCGCGACCCUUUCUGGCCUCCACUCUCUGGAGUUAGGAGAAUCGCGCCCACCUGGAGCUCGGGACCCCGCGCCGCGAAGUACUGAAGGUCUCUGGCCGAGAAGACACAGGCAGCUGCGGGCGCUGCGCGGACACCUGCCCCGGACGCCGUAGAGUCGCUGAGGCUGGCGACCGUCCAAACCACCCCAUCGCCAUCGCCGUGUUCACAGGAAGGGGGCAGAGGGGCAGCCCGUACUGUGUGCCAGCCCCGGGGAGCGCCCCCGACCGCUCAGGCGAAGCCUCUACUGUGAGCCGGCUCCGAAGGGUGCCCCCAGAUCACCGAGGAGGUGUUGAUUGCCCAGGAGGAAGCCUUACUUGAAACUAACUAUUCAUGCAAAUUGCUUGAAACUUGCAUUGGUUGCUGAGUUGAAAGGAUCACAGGAGACUGACUCUUUUAAGCUAGACUGGAGUUGACUCUGCCUAAUGACACAGUGGGGGUUACAGCCUACAGGCAGGAAUAGACUGGUGUAGGUAGCCUCUAACUCACCUUCCAGGGGUUCCUGAGCCGGCUUCACGUUGCACCGCACUUCUUGAGACUGGAUUCAGGGCUUUCAGCUCUGCCCUUUCUAGAGGUGAAAUUCUUCCUGUAUAGAUAAUGUCUAUACUUCCCUAUCACAACACGCCCUGGAACAGAACCCUGUGAAACAUUUGAGGCAGGCCCUCCCAUGCUAUAUUUCUCUGUGAUCUAAAGCAUGUACACAUUGUAAAAUCUUUUUUAUCUCUUUUAAAACACGGCUGUAAUAUAUGGGAAUGGGUAUAAUAAAACAUCUCAAAGAGUAA